GAUGAACGCUGGCGGCGUGCCUAAUACAUGCAAGUCGAGGGGCAGCACAGAAACAGCAAUGUUUUGGUGGCGACCGGCGGACGGGUGCGUAACGCGUAUGCAACCUACCUUUAACAGGGGGAUAACGGAGAGAAAUUUCCACUAAUACCCCAUAACAUCGAUCAAGGCAUCUUGAUUGGUUGAAAACUCCGGUGGUUAAAGAUGGGCAUGCGUUGUAUUAGGUAGUUGGUGAGGUAAUGGCUCACCAAGCCUACGAUACAUAGGGGGACUGAGAGGUUAGCCCCCCACACUGGUACUGAGACACGGACCAGACUCCUACGGGAGGCAGCAGUGAGGAAUAUUGGUCAAUGGGGGCAACCCUGAACCAGCCAUGCCGCGUGCAGGAAGACGGCUCUAUGAGUUGUAAACUGCUUUUAAACAGGGAUAAAGCACAGUAUGUAUACUGUGUUGAAGGUACUGUAAGAAUAAGGAUCGGCUAACUCCGUGCCAGCCGCCGCCGUAA
rnacentral:rRNA from 1 species